rnacentral:rRNA from 1 species
AGUCGAACGAUAGAUAGAAGCUUGCUUUUAUCGAAAGUGGCGCACGGGUGCGUAACGCGUAUGCAACCUACCUUAAUCUGGGGGAUAGCCCGGAGAAAUCCGGAUUAACACCGCAUAAAAACACAGGAUAGCAUUAUCCAAUGUUCAAAUAUUUAUAGGAUUGAGAUGGGCAUGCGUGUCAUUAGCUAGUUGGCGGGGUAACGGCCCACCAAGGCGACGAUGACUAGGGGAUCUGAGAGGAUGGCCCCCCACACUGGUACUGAGACACGGACCAGACUCCUACGGGAGGCAGCAGUAAGGAAUAUUGGUCAAUGGAGGCAACUCUGAACCAGCCAUGCCGCGUGCAGGAAGACUGCCCUAUGGGUUGUAAACUGCUUUUAUCCGGGAAUAAACCUACUUACGUGUAAGUAGCUGAAUGUACCGGAAGAAUAAGGAUCGGCUAACUCCGUGCCAGCAGCCGCGGUAAUACGGAGGAUCCAAGCGUUAUCCGGAUUUAUUGGGUUUAAAGGGUGCGUAGGCGGCCUGUUAAGUCAGGGGUGAAAGACGGUAGCUCAACUAUCGCAGUGCCCUUGAUACUGAUGGGCUUGAAUGGACUAGAGGUAGGCGGAAUGAGACAAGUAGCGGUGAAAUGCAUAGAUAUGUCUCAGAACACCGAUUGCGAAGGCAGCUUACUAUGGUCUUAUUGACGCUGAGGCACGAAAGCGUGGGGAUCAAACAGGAUUAGAUACCCUGGUAGUCCACGCCCUAAACGAUGAACACUCGCUGUUGGCGAUACACAGUCAGCGGCUAAGCGAAAGCGUUAAGUGUUCCACCUGGGGAGUACGCCCGCAAGGGUGAAACUCAAAGGAAUUGACGGGGGCCCGCACAAGCGGAGGAGCAUGUGGUUUAAUUCGAUGAUACGCGAGGAACCUUACCCGGGCUUGAAAGUUAGUGAAUGAUCUAGAGAUAGAUCAGUCCGCAAGGACACGAAACUAGGUGCUGCAUGGCUGUCGUCAGCUCGUGCCGUGAGGUGUUGGGUUAAGUCCCGCAACGAGCGCAACCCCUAUGUUUAGUUGCCAGCACGUCAUGGUGGGGACUCUAAACAGACUGCCUGUGCAAACAGAGAGGAAGGAGGGGACGACGUCAAGUCAUCAUGGCCCUUACGUCCGGGGCUACACACGUGCUACAAUGGAUGGUACAGAGGGCAGCUACAUAGCAAUAUGAUGCGAAUCUCACAAAGCCAUUCACAGUUCGGAUUGGGGUCUGCAACUCGACCCCAUGAAGUUGGAUUCGCUAGUAAUCGCGUAUCAGCAAUGACGCGGUGAAUACGUUCCCGGGCCUUGUACACACCGCCCGUCAAGCCAUGGAAGCUGGGGGUACCUAAAGUAUGAACCGCAAG